UACGUAGGGCGCAAGCGUUGUCCGGAAUUAUUGGGCGUAAAGAGCUCGUAGGCGGCUUGUCACGUCGGGUGUGAAAGCCCGGGGCUUAACCCCGGGUCUGCAUUCGAUACGGGCUAGCUAGAGUGUGGUAGGGGAGACUGGAAUUCCUGGUGUAGCGGUGAAAUGCGCAGAUAUCAGGAGGAACACCGGUGGCGAAGGCGGGUCUCUGGACCGAUACUGACGCUGAGGAGCGAAAGCGUGGGGAGCGAACAGG
rnacentral:rRNA from 1 species